CCCCUCUCAAGGUCACACCUGGAGAGUUUCCAGAACUCUACCAGUCUCGACUACAGAAAGGAGAGUCAAGCAGAGGCAUACCCAUUCCAUUCCUAGCUUGGGCAGUAGCUAGCGAGUGGAAGGCAAUCUGCUACAAGU
rfam:Ornithorhynchus anatinus chromosome 3, whole genome shotgun sequence.